rnacentral:rRNA from 1 species
UUAAAAGGCAUCUACAACCCUUUGUGAACAUACCUAUAACUGUUGCUUCGGCGGGUAGGGUCUCCGCGACCCUCCCGGCCUCCCGCCUCCGGGCGGGUCGGCGCCCGCCGGAGGAUAACCAAACUCUGAUUUAACGACGUUUCUUCUGAGUGGUACAAGCAAAUAAUCAAAACUUUUAACAACGGAUCUCUUGGUUCUGGCAUCGAUGAAGAACGCAGCGAAAUGCGAUAAGUAAUGUGAAUUGCAGAAUUCAGUGAAUCAUCGAAUCUUUGAACGCACAUUGCGCCCGCCAGCAUUCUGGCGGGCAUGCCUGUUCGAGCGUCAUUUCAACCCUCAAGCUCUGCUUGGUGUUGGGGCCCUACAGCUGAUGUAGGCCCUCAAAGGUAGUGGCGGACCCUCUCGGAGCCUCCUUUGCGUAGUAACUUUACGUCUCGCACUGGGAUCCGGAGGGACUCUUGCCGUAAAACCCCCAAUUUUCCAAAGGUUGACCUCGGAUCAGGUAGGAAUACCCGCUGAACUUAAGCAUAUCAAUAAGGCGGAGGAA